rnacentral:lncRNA from 1 species
GGAAAACUGAAGAAGCAUAAUAAGGCUUUUGAAUUACUCGCAGAGGAAGAUUAAUGAACCUAAAAUCGAACAAAAAAUGCAGCAGCGCCUGAACCUCGCCAGAAUCUCGAAUGGAACUGAACAACGACUUCAAAUCACUUCCAACAUCUCGGCUCCAAACAACUCUCCAAACGAGCUUCAAAAUGGAAUCUAUGAAUUUGAAACUAAAAAAAUUGAAAUAGAACCAAAGAGAAGAAGCAGAAACUUCUCUGUUUUUUGGAUUAAAA